GACGAAGGGGGCAAGCGUUGUUCGGAAUUACUGGGCGUAAAGGGCGCGUAGGCGGCUCUGUAAGUCAGGCGUGAAAGCCCCGGGCUUAACCUGGGAAUGGCAUUUGGGACUGCAAGGCUGGAGUGUGGCAGAGGAGACUGGAAUUCCUGGUGUAGCAGUGAAAUGCGUAGAUAUCAGGAGGAAUACCGAUGGCGAAGGCAGGUCUCUGGGCUGACACUGACGCUCAUGCACGAAAGCGUGGGGAGCAAACAGG
rnacentral:rRNA from 1 species